rnacentral:misc_RNA from 1 species
UUUUUAACCAAUACAAUAAUUAUAUAUAGGUGCAAUUUAACUGUUUAAGAUAUUUUGUUAAAAUAAGUUCGUUUGUUUUUUUUUACAAGUUCAACAACUUCUUAGUUAUCUUUGUUCUGUUAUUCGGUUUUCAAAAUUUACAAACAAUAAUCUUACACCAGUCAAAUACGAGAUAAAAAGGAAUUAUCUUUAAUAGAAAGCUUCAGUAUUGAAUAUUACAUCAAAUAUUGUAAUAAAUGUUACGUGUUUUCCGUUUAAAAGAACAAAGUUGUUAAAUCGAUAUUAAAUGUAAAAAAUUAAACCAACUGCGUUGUUCAAAAAGUUACCAUAGUAUGUAGGAACCAAAGACAAAUAAAUAAUUUUUUACCCAAAAA